rnacentral:rRNA from 1 species
UAACACGUGGGUAACCUGCCUGUAAGACUGGGAUAACUCCGGGAAACCGGGGCUAAUACCGGAUGCUUGUUUGAACCGCAUGGUUCAAACAUAAAAGGUGGCUUCGGCUACCACUUACAGAUGGACCCGCGGCGCAUUAGCUAGUUGGUGAGGUAACGGCUCACCAAGGCGACGAUGCGUAGCCGACCUGAGAGGGUGAUCGGCCACACUGGGACUGAGACACGGCCCAGACUCCUACGGGAGGCAGCAGUAGGGAAUCUUCCGCAAUGGACGAAAGUCUGACGGAGCAACGCCGCGUGAGUGAUGAAGGUUUUCGGAUCGUAAAGCUCUGUUGUUAGGGAAGAACAAGUACCGUUCGAAUAGGGCGGUACCUUGACGGUACCUAACCAGAAAGCCACGGCUAACUACGUGCCAGCAGCCGCGGUAAUACGUAGGUGGCAAGCGUUGUCCGGAAUUAUUGGGCGUAAAGGGCUCGCAGGCGGUUCCUUAAGUCUGAUGUGAAAGCCCCCGGCUCAACCGGGGAGGGUCAUUGGAAACUGGGGAACUUGAGUGCAGAAGAGGAGAGUGGAAUUCCACGUGUAGCGGUGAAAUGCGUAGAGAUGUGGAGGAACACCAGUGGCGAAGGCGACUCUCUGGUCUGUAACUGACGCUGAGGAGCGAAAGCGUGGGGAGCGAACAGGAUUAGAUACCCUGGUAGUCCACGCCGUAAACGAUGAGUGCUAAGUGUUAGGGGGUUUCCGCCCCUUAGUGCUGCAGCUAACGCAUUAAGCACUCCGCCUGGGGAGUACGGUCGCAAGACUG